GUUUCCCUGCAGUGUACGAGAAUUUUCGAAGUUCUGUCCUUUACUCUUUUUUUUAUGGGGCUUGUGUUAAGGUACUGGAUAUCACGCCAGAAAUGGACGAUAGAUGGUAGUUUGCAAAUCCCCACCUUAGCUAUAAAAGGCUAAGAACUUCCACAAUGCGGCACAGGCGGGGUAUUU
rnacentral:other from 1 species